rnacentral:sRNA from 1 species
AAAGAGCCAGAUCAAUAAAAUGGAGUGA